CCUACGGGAGGCAGCAGUGAGGAAUAUUGGUCAAUGGACGCAAGUCUGAACCAGCCAUGCCGCGUGAGUGAUGAAGUAUUUCGGUAUGUAAAGCUCUAUCAGCAGGGAAGAUAAUGACGGUACCUGACUAAGAAGCUCCGGCUAAAUACGUGCCAGCAGCCGCGGUAAUACGUAUGGAGCAAGCGUUAUCCGGAUUUACUGGGUGUAAAGGGAGCGCAGACGGCAGGGCAAGUCUGAUGUGAAAGUCCGGGGCUCAACCCCGGGACUGCAUUGGAAACUGUCCGGCUAGAGUGCAGGAGAGGUAAGUGGAAUUCCUAGUGUAGCGGUGAAAUGCGUAGAUAUUAGGAGGAACACCAGUGGCGAAGGCGGCUUACUGGACUGUAACUGACGUUGAGGCUCGAAAGCGUGGGGAGCAAACAGGAUUAGAUACCCGGGUAGUC
rnacentral:rRNA from 1 species